GACGAACGCUGGCGGCGUGCUUAACACAUGCAAGUCGAACGGAAAGGCCCUGCUUUUGUGGGGUGCUCGAGUGGCGAACGGGUGAGUAACACGUGAGUAACCUGCCCUUGACUUUGGGAUAACUUCAGGAAACUGGGGCUAAUACCGGAUAGGAGCUCCUGCUGCAUGGUGGGGGUUGGAAAGUUUCGGCGGUUGGGGAUGGACUCGCGGCUUAUCAGCUUGUUGGUGGGGUAGUGGCUUACCAAGGCUUUGACGGGUAGCCGGCCUGAGAGGGUGACCGGCCACAUUGGGACUGAGAUACGGCCCAGACUCCUACGGGAGGCAGCAGUGGGGAAUAUUGCACAAAGGGCGGAAGCCUGAUGCAGCAACGCCGCGUGCGGGAUGACGGCCUUCGGGUUGUAAACCGCUUUCGCCUGUGACGAAGCGUGAGUGACGGUAAUGGGUAAAGAAGCACCGGCUAACUACGUG
rnacentral:rRNA from 1 species